CUGUCGUCAGCUCGUGUCGUGAGUAUUGGUUUGGGUUAACGUCCCGCAAACGAGCGCCAACCUUGUCAUUAGUUGCCAUCAUUUGGUUGGGCACUCUAAUGAGACUGCCGGUGACAAACCGGAGGAAGGUGGGGAUGACGUCAAGUCCUCAUGGCCCUUAUGGGUAGGGCUUCACACGUCAUACAAUGGUCGGUACAGAGGGUUGCCAACCCGCGAGGGGGAGCUAAUCCCACAAAGCCGAUCGUAGUCCGGAUCGCAGUCUGCAACUCGACUGCGUGAAGUCGGAAUCGCUAGUAAUCGUGGAUCAGCAUGUCACGGUGAAUACGUUCCCGGGUCUU
rnacentral:rRNA from 1 species